CUUCAGUGUUCUUGGGAAAGGCUACUUAAUAAUUAGCCAACUACUAAUUUUCCCUUUAAUCUCUGUAAUUAUCUUUUUGUCACAGAGGCACGAGGUGAAAGCAAUACUAAGAGAAGGGGAAAUUAGCCAAUCAGAGUGAGGCGGAGAGGCGGGGCAGACACCGGAGCUAAAUGCCCCCCCCGGGGCCUGACGGAGGCGGUCAGGGAGCAGCGAUGUUCGGAGUCAUUGACAUUUCUGGCCCUGAGCCAACGUCUGCUGCCAAUCCUCCUCUUUUUGCUGAGGAAGACUGGCCCUGAGCUAACAUCCAUGCCCAUCUUCCUCUACUUUAUAUGUGGGACGCCUACCACAGCAUGGCGUGCCAAGUGGUGCCAUGUCCGCACCUGGGAUCCGAACCAGCGAACCCCAGGCCACCGAAGCAGAAUAUGCGAACUCAACCGCUGUGCUGCUGGGCUGCCCUGAGAGUUCUUAAUGAUGACCUUUUUUCCAUUGGGGUCUUUUUCUCGUGACAAGAAAUGUGCUCAGAAAAUCCUGCCAAUCAAGUUUCCAACCCUCAGUUCUGGUCCUUUCUCUUUUCCUCAUGAUGGUUUUACACUACAGAGCUGGGACCAGAUUUGUCACUAUCCCCUUCCCUCUUAGUAGUUCCAGCUUAGACUUGGCCGAAGAGGAAUUUGUGUGAGAUUUGGAAGGCAGGUGGGAAACAGCAACCAAUAGUCUCUGAAAAUUAUGAUAUUUUAAGUGCAGAGAAGACCGAUGCAGAGGUGCUGGCAGAUUCCAGCUUGUCCUCACUCUUCCCGGCUCUGUGACUGACUCUUCCUCCUGGCUGCCGGCCUUGCUGACCAGUGGCAACUGCAGGCUCACCCCCCAGAUGCAGAGGCAGCAGCUCCCCACGGACUUCUCUGCCAGCCUCCUGUGGUCCCUCCAGCCGGACGUGCCUGGCUUCCCAGGUUCCCUGCGAGCUCUGACUUGUCCUUCCAGUGCUUUGGCUGAUCUUCCAGUCCCUCCUUUUGAACCCCUCUUCCUCAGUUUCUCCUACAAUUGUGUACAGUCUUGUUCAUUUAACAAAUCCCUUGUUCUGUACUAUGCACAGGGGUUCGGCUUCCCUAGUCAAACUCUAUUACGGUUGUUGUAGGUGGUCUCCAGACCUGGCCUCAAGUGAGCCACCCUGAUAGUCACAUCUUUAUGGAGUCCCUCCCACAUUGAAUCUGGCUGGCCCUCCGGCUCUCUUGAAUCAACAGAAUGCAGUGGAAGUGACGCGUGACUCUUCUGGCCUUAAGAUUGUCCCUAAGAAGGUCUGGCGACUUCUGCUUUGGCACUUUUAGGAGCCCCAAGCCACCAUGUAAGAAGUCCAGCUACCCUGCUGGAGAGAAGAUGUGGAAAAGCCUGGAGACAGAGAAGUCCCAAGACCACGUGAGAGAGAAGCCCCACUGUCGCAGUGUCCCUCUGAGCCCAGCCUCCCAGCCAGCCCCACCAGAGGAGAUGAGAGGAGAUGCAGGUGGAGCCAUCUUGGAUAUUCCUGCCCCAGCUGACAUCCGACUGCAGAGAUCCCAAGUAAGAUUAGAAGAAACACUCACCAGCUGAGCCCCAGAUAACCCACAGAAGCAGGAAGAGUAAGAAAAUUGUUGUUUUUAAAUCCUUUCUAUGUUGACAUGAUUACAGACUUACAGAAAAGAUGUCAAAAUAGUACCAAAAAAAUCUCAUUUACCCGAACAUUGACCUCUCCCAACCCCCACCCCUGCCACUCUCAACUGUUUGAGAGUAAGACAUGAUACCUCUUUAUCCCCAUACUGUUUGGUGUAUAUCUCCCCAAAACAAGAAAAUUCUCUUAUAUAAACC
ensembl:lncRNA